CACAAGAUCAGUAAUCUUAAGAUAUGACAACAGUCAAGACAGUCUUUCAGGUUUCUGUGCUAAAAUAUGCAAUGUGUAAAAUAAUGUAAAUCCUCAUUAGGAAACAACACAAACGAGACAGUUGUAGGAAAAAAAAAUAC